UCAGCCUGGGUCCUGGAACAGGGAACCCUAACCCUGUUACUGAAAGACAGGGUGGUCCCUUUAAGUCCAAAACUGUCCAGUCAUGGCUGGCUGGUCAAGUAGGGGUUAAGGCUCAAGCCCUGCCAGCCGGUCAGGUGACAGGAAGAGGAAGGCCAGGACCCUACAAAUGGCAAGUGGAGAAGGCCAGAGGGGCAGCAGGGAGGUCGACUCCCAAUGACCAUGGUGCUGAGGCCACAGUCUCUGUCAGAAGACUGCACCACGUUGUGAGCCAUCCUCAUGAUCAUCUAAAUUUUGCAGGUGUGAAUCCUCAUCUUCCAGACAUCUGGACAUCAGGCACUUUCAGCAUUUCUUCAGGCCUGACAGAAUCAUCAGCAACAAACAUCAGUGAGAGCCAGCCAUUUUCCUUGUAAAAAAAACUCGAGUCUCUGCACAGUUCAAGGGCAGUAGAGGUUCUUCCACUGACUUGAAUGAAAGCAGAAUCAAGACUAAAUGCUGGCACAGUGGCACUUAAAUCCAUUAUGAGACAAACAAACAGAUCCUUUGAAUUGAAAGUUUCAUCUCUUGUGUGCCAGUUGUUAUGCAAAGCAGGUGUCAAUUGAACCUUUUCCUGUCUGCAACACUUAAAAAGCAGCAUGUUGUAGUUAAAUCCACUUGUAAAUGAAGCUUAGCCAGUUGUAGCUUCUUACAGAAGCAACCGCCUGCAGAUCUGUUAAAAAAUCCUACCGGAUUUUGGACAUCAGCAGUCAAAAAAGGGUUAAUUCUCUGCAUCCUUCUCCAGAACAACAGUUCAUUUGGGGCUUUUGUUCCCCCUUGUUUAACAAAGUUUUCUUUCAUUUCUCCAUAUAGAGUAAAAGACAAAAUCUUCCUAAACAAGAGUUUUAUCCUACAUGAGUUGAAGUCAGUUUAUUUGUAAAUCAUUGGAAAGAAUUUCCUUUCAUAAUGGGCCCAACCACAAACUUUCUUUUCUUUUUUUUGAGCCAAUAAUCUUUUCUACCACCUGCAUUGUGGAUUUAGCACUCAAAAUUGCCUUAGAGGUUUCAAGUGUCCCUAAAGAGAUAAGCAUGAAACCAAACAGUGAAAGGCCUUAUUGGGUUGAACAGACUGAUGAACUAUGAACAAAAAAGAAUCUUCUUUCAUGUUAAGAUAAUUCAGUAUAAAAAGGAAAAUGGAUCAGAAAUGUCUGAAAUAUGACUAGUCCACUGAAUGCCAAAUAACUGAAACAGGUUCCAGCAAUGAGUGAUCCUGUUACAUGUAUUAUGUUUGAUCAUUUAAGGCUAAAUCUUUUCUCAGCAUUUACUUACUUACCCCUCCUACUAGCAAUAAAUAGUCCAGUUGGCUCUAAUGAAAAUCUAAACUGAAUAAUGGCUUCACUAUGUGAUCCUUACUGCACCAAGGUGUUAGCAAUGAAAAAUAAAAAUUAUCAGUUGUUAGUGAA